ACCAAGACAGGCUUUUCGCCCUGGUUAUCAACAGUUACCCGUGAUGGCACCUCUAAACAAAUGGGCGUCUCAUCUGCAUUCCCCAUCUGAGCUACCUCAUAGUCAUGCGCCCUGCGCAGAGCCAGGACACUGCGUUGAUGAAGAAGGGGAGGCUACAGAGGUUACAUAAUACACCAAGGGAGCCAAGCCAGAAAGUGGCAGAGCUGGGAAUUGAACAGAGGCACCAAGCUUGGACCAAAUAAUUUGGGGGCCAUGUUUGUGUCAAAAUACUUUUUAUGUGAAUGAGAAGCCAAAUGUAAACCAUAUUACCAUAUAAUAUUACAGAGACACAUCAUGGCCUGAUUCAUAUCCCUUUAGAACCAAGAAAAUCUAUAGCAAAAACCACACUUAACAAAGUUAAGCUUAUAAGGCAGAAAAUUAGUUCUUGCACAUUAACAGUGGAACCGGGUUUCACUUUAUAUUUAGGAGGUGGUCACAGAAGUUGAGUAUGACUUGGGGAAAUUACCCUAUCUCACCCAAACUAAAAUGCCAUCAGUUGUAGGAUGCAUCAUUAUGUGCCAUUAAGAAAGAAAACACUACUAAUUAAGCUACGAUGUGCCACUGAUUUUAAGAGGCAUUCUCAAUUUCAGAGACAGUAAAGCAAUGGGGGAAAAACAUGUCUCAGAGUCAGUGAAAUAUGGCAUUUUAAACUCCUCUGGAGAAAAGACAAAACUAUUUUGGCAGUCUGGAAGCAAUGCUAUAUCUAUUCAACUGCGGCCUCAAUAACCAUUUUUCUUGACAAAGGACUAGGUACUUCUUAGAUACAUUUGCUCAAAGGUAUACUAUGACUGCUAAUGCUUUUUCUAUCCAGUAUGAAAUGGACAGGAAGCCAGGUAACUCAGGAAGUGUGCUUCCUCUCACUAUUCUUAGUUUGCAGAGGCACAUGGUACACUACUGAGGUAGCCCUGUUCAGCUAGAAGGUGCACUGGACCAAACACUGCACAAGCCUCAUUUUGCUUCAUCCACAUAGGUCAUACAUCGAGUCUUGUUACUCAGAGCUGAUAGAGGAAGAAUGGAAGCUGUGAGGUAAAAGCAGUUGCCUAAGGUCACACAUUUAGCACUGCAAAGAGGGAGAUUUCAAAACUCCAAAGCCCAUAAUCCUUCUACCUCUUAAAUACCCCGUGGAAUGUACACUGAAAAUCCCACUUCACAAUGUUCCCAGCUGGAUGGACGCUGAACUGCUUUACUUGUAGUACCUGCAGAGGUGCCUCCGUGGAGCUGCCACUCGUCAGAAUUCUGAGACUCCUCCUCCCCUUCCAACCGGGUGAUCAUGUCUGGCUUAGGGAAUGGGAAUUCUGUUGAUAGGAAAUAAAAUAGGUAACAGCUGUGUAUUACUGUCCUGGAGCACUACCAACUCUUUAAAAUACUUAAGAGCCACUCUCCCCUUCUUUGUGAAAAACAAGGGGAAAAAGGCUCAGGGAUACUUAAAGAAAAAAGAUAAUGGAAAAUAGGUCUGUCCAAGGGAAUGGGUAGAUCUCUCCUAAUGAGGGAUGGUAUUGGCACCAAUAAUAAAAGAACUGCACUUAGCAGGCAAGAGGGUGAAUGCAGCUGCUGAUCCAAUUAA